rnacentral:rRNA from 1 species
CCUACUUUUUUCCGCAGUGGGGAAUAUUGGACAAUGGGGGCAACCCUGAUCCAGCCAUGCCGCGUGUGUGAAGAAGGCCCUCGGGUUGUAAAGCACUUUCAGUGAGGAAGAACGCCUGGUGGUUAAUACCCAUCAGGAAAGACAUCACUCACAGAAGAAGCACCGGCUAACUCCGUGCCAGCAGCCGCGGUAAUACGGAGGGUGCGAGCGUUAAUCGGAAUUACUGGGCGUAAAGCGCGCGUAGGUGGCUUGAUAAGCCGGUUGUGAAAGCCCCGGGCUCAACCUGGGAACGGCAUCCGGAACUGUCAAGCUAGAGUGCAGGAGAGGAAGGUAGAAUUCCCGGUGUAGCGGUGAAAUGCGUAGAGAUCGGGAGGAAUACCAGUGGCGAAGGCGGCCUUCUGGACUGACACUGACACUGAGGUGCGAAAGCGUGGGUAGCAAACAGGAUUAGAUACCCUAGUAGUC